rnacentral:rRNA from 1 species
GGUUGACCUCGGAUCAGGUAGGAAUACCCGCUGAACUUAAGCAUAUCAAUAAGCGGAGGAAAAGAAACCAACAGGGAUUGCCCUAGUAACGGCGAGUGAAGCGGCAACAGCUCAAAUUUGAAAUCUGGCCCUCGGGUCCGAGUUGUAAUUUGUAGAGGAUGCUUUUGGUGCGGUACCUUCCGAGUUCCCUGGAACGGGACGCCAUAGAGGGUGAGAGCCCCGUCUGGUUGGAUACCAAUCCUCUGUAAAGCUCCUUCGACGAGUCGAGUAGUUUGGGAAUGCUGCUCUAAAUGGGAGGUAUAUGUCUUCUAAAGCUAAAUACCGGCCAGAGACCGAUAGCGCACAAGUAGAGUGAUCGAAAGAUGAAAAGCACUUUGAAAAGAGGGUUAAACAGUACGUGAAAUUGUUGAAAGGGAAGCGCUUGUGACCAGACUUGGGCCCGGUUAAUCAUCCAGCGUUCUCGCUGGUGCACUUGGCCGGCCCAGGCCAGCAUCAGUUCGGCGCGGGGGAUAAAGACUUUGGGAAUGUGGCUCCUCCGGGAGUGUUAUAGCCCACUGUGUAAUACCCUGCGCUGGACUGAGGUUCGCGCAUCUGCAAGGAUGCUGGCGUAAUGGUCAUCAGCGACCCGUCUU